AACGCGAAGAACCUUACCAAGGUUUGACAUGCAGGGAAAAGCUCCAGAGAUGGGGUGUCCGUAAGGGUCCUGCACAGGUGGUGCAUGGCUGUCGUCAGCUCGUGUCGUGAGAUGUUGGGUUAAGUCCCGCAACGAGCGCAACCCUCGUCCUAUGUUGCCAGCGGGUAAUGCCGGGGACUCAUAGGAGACUGCCGGGGUCAACUCGGAGGAAGGUGGGGAUGACGUCAAGUCCUCAUGCCCCUUAUGUCUUGGGCUGCAAACAUGCUACAAUGGCCAGUACAAAGGGUUGCGAGACCGCAAGGUGGAGCGAAUCCCAAAAAGCUGGUCUCAGUUCGGAUUGGGGUCUGCAACUCGACCCCAUGAAGUCGGAGUCGCUAGUAAUCGCGAAUCAGCAACGUCGCGGUGAAUACGUUCCCGGGCCUUGUA
rnacentral:rRNA from 1 species